UACCCAGUGUCAAUAGAAUCAUCUGUGAUCAAGUGGAUGAAUGGAACUAAAUGUUUGUGUGGUAGGGUAUAAACCUCACACUGGGCAACAAGCUGCUCUAGGCUCAGUCAGCCCUGUCCUGUCCUGCCACACAUGCACAGCCUGGAGAAGGCGAUAAAAGGGAAGUAGAACAGUGAAGAGGACAGACCUUCAACCCACAGCUCCAGAGGGAAGAAACUUGGAAGUCACCUGGCUGGAUGCCAAUUCACAGGAAGAGGCAGGUCACCACAGAGGAAGAGCACCUGGCAGCUGCACCCCCUAGCAGACACACAACUGCCAUGCCAAGCCCAGCCCAGAGGCGUAAGUGGAUGGAUGGAAGCAAAAAACGUUGAAGCUGAAGACCAAACAAAGUGAAGAGAUUUGCUUGUCAUAGAGUCCCACCACAAGAUAGAGCCUGUCACUAAUGUAUAUGUUUGGCGGACACAGUCACUUACAUGAGGCUGGAGGGUUGGUUUAUGGUUGUUCUUUGUCAGUUAUCCAAGGAUCAUCUUCAUGUUUGGUCUUUUAGCCAAUGUGUUUCACUAAAUCAUCACAAAGUGACUCUGCCAAGGAAAUAAUCAGCAGUACAUGAACUAAGGCAGCCGUCCAAACUUCACGCAGAUUUAGCAGGGGAAGUUGGUGAGCUACCAGUAUGAAUAUUAGUUAGUUUAAUGAUUCAUGUGUUGUCAAAGUUCACAUUGCAAAUCACAUGGAAAUAUCACUGUAAGCAAUAUUUUAAGACAAGGGAACAAGAACCACAUGUUAGUGUUACCCAGCCCAAUGCAGUUUAAAAAGGCUGUGUUAAACAGAGCUGUGUAAAACUCAGCCAUUAUCAUUUGAAGUGGAGCACAGUCCCACUGUAGUUCACAUGCAGGCAGACUUUUAGAAGUGCUCACUUAUUUUGUGUGCUGGGAGGGGAUCAGUUGGGCCAUUAAUGAUAUUGGAACUUAAAAUCAUAUAAUUUGUAUCACUUUCUAGCUUUCUUUGUCUACGUCUGUUCUGACAUGAUUUUUGUGGCCAAUCUCAAGAACCACUGGAGAUAGAGAUUUAUGCUAUAUGCCAUUUGAACACAAGGGGUCCAAGUUCUGAGGUGGCACAUGGCACUGAAUUCAUGCUCUAAUGGUUUGGAAGGCAGAGAACAUUGAAAUCACUGGCCAUUUAGAGAGUUCAAACUCCGCUUGGAAACAGUGCUCAAAGCUUAGAGCAGACACAGCUGAAGAGUCACAAAUGCCUAUUGAGCUUUCCCUAAUCAUGCUGGAGGCAAAAACAUCUGUUUUUCAGGAUCUGUACAGCUGACUGAUCCAUACAUUUGAUGGAACAGUUCCCUUUCUUCUGUGGCCAUUUA